UACGGGGGGGGGCAAGCGUUGUUCGGAAUUACUGGGCGUAAAGGGCCAGUAGGCGGCCAACUAAGUCGGAUGUGAAAUCCCCAGGCUUAACCUGGGAACUGCAUCCGAUACUGGAUGGCUUGAAUUCGGGAGAGGGAUGCAGAAUUCCAGGUGUAGCGGUGAAAUGCGUAGAUAUCUGGAGGAAUACCGGUGGCGAAGGCGGCAUUCUGGACCGACAUUGACACUAAAGCGCGAAAGCCAGGGGAGCAAACGGG
rnacentral:rRNA from 1 species